rnacentral:sRNA from 1 species
CUAGUUCGCGUCUCCACUGUUCCAUCUCCUCCGUUCCUGGAGUUCCUCGGUGACUCUACCAUAGUUUUUGUUAUCCUGUGACCUGCAGGUACUGGGAGAUCCAUAGGGAGGACGGCGGAACAUCUGGAGGCUGGGAAAUGGGAGUGUUGACAUUCAGGGAUGUGGCUGUAGAAUUCUCCCCAGAAGAGUGGGAAUGCCUGGACUCUGCUCAGCAGCGUUUGUAUAGGGAUGUGAUGUUAGAGAACUAUGGAAACCUGGUCUCCUUGGGUCUUGCUAUCUUUAAGCCAGACUUGAUGACCUGUCUGGAGCAAAGAAAAGAGCCUUGGAAAGUGAAGAGACAGGAGGCAGUAGCCAAACACCCAGGUAGGUGGGAGUGAAUGAAGCAGAUGACACAAAUGACGGAUCCCAAUGUCAAGGAGGAAGCCAGACCUUUAAACAUGCUUCCAGAAGCUCUGCUCCAGUGGAAAUGGUUUCUGAGAAACCUUCAUUUCUUUCUCUUGCUUUAACAUAGGGACAUUUUUUGUCCCAUUCUUGUGAAUUUUCCAAGCACUGUACUUCCCCUUCAGUUGUGUGUGUGUGUGUGUGUGUGUGUUGUGUUGUGUGUGUGUUUUGUUUUGUUUUUUGUUUUUAGUUUACAGCAAUAAUGAAAGUCUUUCAUGGCUUGACAAAAUGUGUGAUUUGACUGCUUUUCCAUUGCUUUGGGGAAACAGCAAUAUCUGUAUUUUUGAGAAACUCUAUAUUAAACCAUUUUUUUAA